rfam:Brachypodium distachyon strain Bd21 chromosome 1, whole genome shotgun sequence.
GCGCUUGUAGCUCAGCGGAUAGAGCAUUUGUUUCCUAAACAAAAAGUCGAAGGUUCGAUCCCUUCCUAGCGCA